GGAAGCAGAGGCAGGCGAUCUCCGGGUUCAAGGCCAGCCUCGUCUACAGAAUGUUUAAGAACAAUGGGAUCUUACAAACCGCACCGAAGACGGGCUGUUCUUCCAAGAGGGAUGCCCUUGCUCCAGACUGUCAGAUGGGGCAGAUGCCUAGAAGACUUUCUUCAGUCCACAUACCAGCCGUUAACGGCCUGACAUUGUGUUGAACCUCCUGGAAGAUGCGGUCUUGGCUUCACAAAGCUACAGGCUAGUAGCAAGACAAGGUCGCUCUCAGCAUGAUGUGUCUGCCCUAAAACAAAGGAUGGCGCUGAGCUUAAGAAAGACAACUUCUUCUCACCAGCGGUCAUUUUAAAGGCUUGUUGAGUGUGGGUUGGCCGCUCUGGUGAUGGACAGCACCCUGGCCCCUUGUCCAUUUCUGAAGUGACACUUGGUCGUCCCUGCGGCUACCAGGUGGAGCCACUCAGCAGGUUCUUCUGGGUAACUAGGUCACUCUGUCACAGAGCCAGCCGCUACGACUUUCGCUGAGAUCCAGGUGACCAGCUUUGAUUUACUGUGGUUUCAACUCAACUGUGUAACCCACAUUCUCAGAGGAAAGAGGGGGUCUACAAGGGGAGCUCUGGCACAUAGAAAUAAAGCAGAAUUAAGGCCAAGAAACUUA